rnacentral:rRNA from 1 species
GUUAAGCGACUAAGCGUACACGGUGGAUGCCCUGGCAGUCAGAGGCGAUGAAGGGCGUGCUAAUCUGCGAUAAGCGCCGGUAAGGUGAUAUGAACCGUUAUAACCGGCGAUACCCGAAUGGGGAAACCCAGUGUGAUUCGUCACACUAUCAUUAACUGAAUCCAUAGGUUAAUGAGGCGAACCGGGGGAACUGAAACAUCUAAGUACCCCGAGGAAAAGAAAUCAACCGAGAUUCCCCCAGUAGCGGCGAGCGAACGGGGAGGAGCCCAGAGCCUGAAUCAGCAUGUGUGUUAGUGGAAGCGUCUGGAAAGGCGCGCGAUACAGGGUGACAGCCCCGUACACAAAAGCGCAUGUGCUGUGAGCUCGAUGAGUAGGGCGGGACACGUGGUAUCCUGUCUGAAUAUGGGGGGACCAUCCUCCAAGGCUAAAUACUCCUGACUGACCGAUAGUGAACCAGUACCGUGAGGGAAAGGCGAAAAGAACCCCGGCGAGGGGAGUGAAAAAGAACCUGAAACCGUGUACGUACAAGCAGUGGGAGCACAG